UCAUCUGACUCCCAAGCCUCUUCUCUUAACUGCUAUGAUAUGUAGCCCCUGCCGUGUCCCCCCUCACCUAGUGGUCACAGUCCAGGUCCUUGGAGUCAAGACCAAACCUGGAUCUGAAGCCUAACUAAGCACUUAGUACUAAGGAGUUUAGACUGCUUCCCAAGCUUCAUCAAACACUGCAAUGGUCUUUCAAAACUCUCCUAGCCAUGAAAAAGGUUCCAUUAAAAUGAGGUUAAAAAUGUGACAUAUUGGGAUCCCUGGGUGGUGCAGCGGUUUAGCGCCUGCCUUUGGCCCAGGGCGGGAUCCUGGAGACCCGAGAUCGAAUCCCACAUCGGGCUCCUGGUGCAUGGAGCCUGC